UGAAGAGGAGGAGCAAUGUUUUACUUGACAGUGAAUUGAUAUCAGUGUUUGGCGUGAUAUGAGUGAGCAGCAGGAUGGAGGAAACGUCUCUGCUGUGUCUGCUCAUUCUGAUCUCACUGCUGAGCUGCACCACAAACCAAGCUCGUCUGACUGUGAGUCCCAG